GAUGAACGCUGGCGGCGUGCUUAACACAUGCAAGUCGAACGGUGAAGGCGGAGCUUGCUCUGCUGGAUCAGUGGCGAACGGGUGAGUAACACGUGAGCAAUCUGCCCCUGACUCUGGGAUAAGCACUGGAAACGGCGUCUAAUACUGGAUACGAGCUGCGAAGGCAUCUUCAGCAGCUGGAAAGAACUUCGGUCAGGGAUGAGCUCGCGGCCUAUCAGCUUGUUGGUGAGGUAACGGCUCACCAAGGCGUCGACGGGUAGCCGGCCUGAGAGGGUGACCGGCCACACUGGGACUGAGACACGGCCCAGACUCCUACGGGAGGCAGCAGUGGGGAAUAUUGCACAAUGGGCGAAAGCCUGAUGCAGCAACGCCGCGUGAGGGACGACGGCCUUCGGGUUGUAAACCUCUUUUAGCAGGGAAGAAGCGAAAGUGACGGUACCUGCAGAAAAAGCGCCGGCUAACUACGUG
rnacentral:rRNA from 1 species